CAUUAUUGUCCAAUGGUACACAUUAAGCGAAGCUUCUCUCCUCUCCUCUACAAUGACAUACUUCUUCAUAUUGAUCUCUAAGAUUCCAUCAAAUCUCUUCUCUUUCUCUUUCCUUGCAUCUUUUCUCUCUCUCUCUCUUUUUCUCAUCUCUUCUUCCUCUCCUAAAUACCCCUUUGUAUUGUAGGACCCUACAAGUAUAACCAUUGUUAAGGAUUAUAAAGUGAUAAACGAUGUAUUGUCAGAGUUUAGGAAGAUGCAACAAAGGGCCACUUAUUUCAAAAUCCAUGGACCUAGACCCUCUAAUAUCAUGGCAAGUGUAUGUAUUCCGGUAUAAAUCAGUUUCAAGGAGAAAUAUUGAGUUGCAUGCAUUUAGAUCACUGUCGGAGCGAUUCAAGAAUGGAUUUAUUCUCAAGAAUAAUUUUGUCAUCAACAAACCACCAUUGUCGAAGCUUGAUGGAUUUUAAUGGGUUUUCUAGUUCUUAAUGGAUCAUUUUUCUUUUCUUUAAUUUUUAUCUUUUGUUUUAUUAAUUUUCUAGAGUUUAAUAUUAUUAAUAGGUUCUUGAUCCAAUUUUCUAUUUCGAUAUUUGUUCUUAUGGAGUCAAUUUUUCUAUUAUAACAGUUUUGUUCUUGAUGAA